rnacentral:rRNA from 1 species
AGUGAACGCUGGCGGUAGGCCUAACACAUGCAAGUCGAACGGCAGCACAGUAAGAGCUUGCUCUUACGGGUGGCGAGUGGCGGACGGGUGAGGAAUACAUCGGAAUCUACUUUUUCGUGGGGGAUAACGUAGGGAAACUUACGCUAAUACCGCAUACGACCUACGGGUGAAAGCAGUGGAUCUUCGGACCUUGCGCGAUUGAAUGAGCCGAUGUCGGAUUAGCUAGUUGGCGGGGUAAAGGCCCACCAAGGCGACGAUCCGUAGCUGGUCUGAGAGGAUGAUCAGCCACACUGGAACUGAGACACGGUCCAGACUCCUACGGGAGGCAGCAGUGGGGAAUAUUGGACAAUGGGCGCAGGCCUGAUCCAGCCAUACCGCGUGGGUGAAGAAGGCCUUCGGGUUGUAAAGCCCUUUUGUUGGGAAAGAAAAGCAGCAGGUUAAUACCCCGCUGUUCUGACGGUACCCAAAGAAUAAGCACCGGCUAACUUCGUG